rnacentral:rRNA from 1 species
AUUGAACGCUGGCGGCAGGCCUAACACAUGCAAGUCGAACGAGUGGCGGACGGGUGAGUAAUGUCUGGGAAACUGCCCGAUGGAGGGGGAUAACUACUGGAAACGGUAGCUAAUACCGCAUACCAUCGGAUGUGCCCAGAUGGGAUUAGCUAGUAGGUGGGGUAACGGCGCACCUAGGCGACGAUCCCUAGCUGGUCUGAGAGGAUGACCAGGAACACUGGAACUGAGAAACGGUCCAGACUCCACAGGGAGGCAGCAGGGGGGAAGAUUGCAAAAUGGGCGCAAGCCUGAUGCAGCCAGGGCGCGUGUGUGAAGAAGGCAUUGGGGUUGUAAAGUACUUUAAGCGGAGAGGCGUUACUCGCAGAAGAAGCACCGGCUAACUCCAUGCCAGCAGCAGCGGUAAUAC